AGUGAACGCUGGCGGUAGGCCUAACACAUACAAGUCGAACGGCAGCACAGUAAGAGCUUGCUCUUACGGGUGGCGAGUGGCGGACGGGUGAGGAAUACAUCGGAAUCUACUUUUUCGUGGGGGAUAACGUAGGGAAACUUACGCUAAUACCGCAUACGACCUACGGGUGAAAGCAGGGGAUCUUCGGACCUUGCGCGAUUGAAUGAGCCGAUGUCGGAUUAGCUAGUUGGCGGGGUAAAGGCCCACCAAGGCGACGAUCCGUAGCUGGUCUGAGAGGAUGAUCAGCCACACUGGAACUGAGACACGGUCCAGACUCCUACGGGAGGCAGCAGUGGGGAAUAUUGGACAAUGGGCGCAAGCCUGAUCCAGCCAUACCGCGUGGGUGAAGAAGGCCUUCGGGUUGUAAAGCCCCUUUGUUGGGAAAGAAAAGCAGCAGGUUAAUACCCCGCUGUUCUGACGGUACCCAAAGAAUAAGCACCGGCUAACUUCGUG
rnacentral:rRNA from 1 species